GCGCGGGGCUGCUGCUGCCUGCGCGGGGACGGCGCUGCCCCCGGCCCAUGAUGUGCCUGGAGAGCGGCGGCGGCGCUGGAGGAGGAGGCGGCGGCGGCAGCGGCGGGCGGCUCCGCGCCGGCGACGAGGAGGAGGAGGAGGACGGCGGCGGCGAGCGGGGCUGCUGCGGCCGGGGCGCCGAGGGCGAGGUGCAGACGCUGUCGGGCAGCAUGGCCCCCGCGGCCAAGAGCCCCGAGCGCCCGCCGCCGCCCGCGCCCGCCGCCCCCCGCUCCGGCGUGCUGGCCGCCGCCGUGCUCAGCGCCGGCAACGUGCUCAACUACCUGGACCGCUACACCGUGGCGGGUGUACUGCUAGACAUCCAGCAGCAUUUUGGAGUCAAAGACAGUGGAGCUGGCUUGCUACAAACAGUUUUUAUCUGUAGUUUCAUGGUGGCAGCCCCUAUAUUUGGUUACCUUGGUGACCGUUUCAACCGAAAGAUCAUCCUCAGCUGUGGGAUCUUCUUCUGGUCAGCUGUCACCUUUUCAAGCUCCUUCAUCACUGAGCAGUACUUCUGGCUCCUUGUCCUCUCACGAGGUUUGGUUGGCAUUGGUGAAGCCAGUUAUUCCACCAUCGCUCCCACCAUCAUAGGAGACCUUUUUACCAAAAACACCAGGACCCUCAUGCUGUCCGUCUUCUACUUUGCGAUCCCUCUGGGCAGUGGUUUAGGGUACAUCACUGGAUCAAGUGUGAAGCAGGUAGCAGGAGACUGGCACUGGGCAUUGCGGGUAUCUCCACUGCUGGGUAUGAUCACAGGGACGCUCAUCUUAAUAUUGGUACCUGCUGCUAAAAGAGGCAACGUUGAACAGCUGGGGGGACAGCUGAAGGCUAGGACCUCGUGGCUAAGAGAUAUGAAGGCAUUGUUCAGAAACCGCAGCUAUGUGUUCUCGUCACUGGCCACCUCAGCCGUCUCCUUCGCCACAGGGGCGCUGGGCAUGUGGAUCCCCCUCUACCUUCACAGAGCACAGGUGGUGCAGAAGACAGUGGAGACCUGCAGUUCCCAGCCCUGUAGCACCAAGGACAGUUUGAUCUUUGGAGCAAUCACAUGCUUCACAGGCUUUCUGGGUGUGAUCACAGGGGCUGGUGCAACCAAAUGGUGCCGCUUAAAAACACAACGAGCUGAUCCUCUCGUCUGUGCUGUGGGCAUGCUGGGUUCGGCCAUCUUCAUCUGUCUGAUCUUCGUCGCUGCUAAGAGCAGUAUUGUGGGAGCCUAUAUUUGCAUUUUUAUCGGUGAAACUCUUCUGUUUUCAAACUGGGCUAUCACAGCAGACAUACUGAUGUACGUGGUCAUUCCAACACGCCGUGCAACCGCAGUGGCCUUGCAGAGCUUCACCUCGCACCUUCUGGGAGACGCUGGCAGCCCCUACCUGAUCGGAUUUAUCUCCGACCUGAUCCGACAGAGCACGAAGGAGUCCCCGCUCUGGGAGUUCCUCAGCCUGGGCUAUGCCCUCAUGCUCUGCCCCUUUGUCAUCGUCCUGGGAGGCAUGUUCUUCCUGGCCACAGCCCUCUUCUUCCUAAGUGACCGAGCCAAAGCUGAACAACAUAAAGAAACUGAUUCGGACCACCUCACUGUUGGCAACUACAGUAACUCAGAAGACGCUUCCACAUGACACACACAGUUUUGGGGGUGAAUCAACUCAUGAUGCCACCAGCCUCUGUGAAAGUCUGAGAUGCUGAUACAAAGGACUCCGGCUUCCAUGCUGACGGCCCCAGCUGGGAACAACGCACCAGUACCAGACACAAGCAGGACCUCCGUGACGCAUCCAAAGUCCACUCCAACACCAAACCAAUCCCUUUGUUCUUACCUCCAGGGUCAAGCUAGAAGAGGUGACCAGGAGUGGCCUGGAUCCCAGUGCUUGUGCACACAAGGACACUGAUGGGUUUCCCCAGACUGCCAUACUUCGGAAGGGGCUGCCUGUAGGACGCACUCCUGCACUACACCCCAGCGAGCGACUGUAGAUUGUGUAUACGAUUUUAGAGUUAGCCAAUGAAGAAGUCCACAUUACCUACAGGGCAGCUGCUGCUCAAUGCUGCCUGCUAUGUCAGCGCGACCACCCCUUUGGCCAGAGACCGUGCAAUGGUGGGGACCUCUUCUGUACAUCAUGGCCUCUUGCUCGACACUAAAGGCUCAACCCAGAUUUUUAGUAUUAUUUAAACAUCCUCAGAUGCUUUAUCCCUGCUGAAGACGUCACAUAUCAGAUCUCUAUCUCUAUAGCUAGAUAAAUAGUUUUAUUUAAACUUUGGGCAUCUGAAGCGGCCAGUGCAAUGGCAGGACAUGGAAAGCUCCACUUCUGUGCGCAUCUUGGCACUGCAGCCUUGGUUCCAAAGAGGGCUCCAUGGUAGCACUCCCAAAAGGCGGCAGAGACAUUCACGCAACAGCACUUUGCUUAUGGGAGCAGCCCCGGGGCUGGCACAGGGCUGCAUCGCUGCUGGAAGGAGAAGUCUCUCACUGCACCAGGUGGGACUGUUAUGGCAAGGCCAGGAAAGUCCUGGCCAUUUAUAUGUAAUGGCUUUUUAUUUUGUUUAACCCGUUUUGUUUUACCUUGCACAGAAGGUUUACAGGCCUCUAAAAUACCAAAAUCCACAUGUGAAGGAACUGCUGUACCCAGAGCCUGGUACGGCAGUGCUGCUGCGCCAGUGAAGGUGUUGGGUCAUUUAUAUGCAUAUCAUACAACAUCGUUAGCUUAUUGCAGAUGCAAAUGAUUUGCUCCCAGUAUUUAUCCCUAUCCAGCAACUGCAUUUCUGCAAGGAUGGUAGUGUGCAUAAACACUGUCCUUGUUUACUCCCCCUGUUGCAGUACUUAAGGUCACUUUGAUCUGUACAGUGGUGUGGCUGGCAUGGUUUUAAUUCACUGGUGUGAUGGGCUAAAAACAGAGCUCUAGCUAGUCACAGGCUCAUUUGUAUUUGGACCUCUCCGACCCAUCUUUGGUUCUCAUGUGACAGACUGGCAUGUUUACAGUGAGCCGGCGGGCGUGUUGCAGCUGUGGCAGGAGGAGGUAAGUACAAAUGGUCCCAAUAAAGGAUGUGAGGUUGUCAGUGGCAACAGUUGUCCAACCACCUGGUUCAGGUCUCCUAAGUAGAUGCACUUUCCUUGAGUUUCCUUGCAUAUGCCCAGCACUUAAUUCUUUUGGAAACCAUACCUGAUUAGCAAAGGAAUUGCCAACCCUGUUAGUUGGAUAUGGCUUUAAUAAUGUUACAAGCUAGCAGUCUGGAGAACAUGGCUUAGGUUUGAGGAGUCAUUUUUAAUUGGCCAGUGUCCCCAAAGAGCACUGGUAUCUACAUAAAAAGCAGUCGGGGUCCACCCACACUUUCCACUUCCAAGCUCUGUAGAAACUUUGGCUUCCUUGCAGAAUACCCCUCCUGCACUCCCAGCAGGGAGUCAGCAGCAGUUUCCAGCAGCACUUCCAUAUUUUUCAAGAUCAGCAUCGAUAGAGGGCUCACGGUUUCCUCCCUCUGCAGUUCUACCGGACUCUUCCUGAAAGGCAGCCCCUUCCCAGAUUACUUCAGUUGGCGUUAAAAAUAUGUUGUAGGUCAGGCAAACAAUUGGAGAUAGGAAUCCAACCACUACUACUUGCUGGCCCCUAGGGAACUGCAAAUGCCACUCAAGUUCAGCUAUAAUAAUAAGCAAAGUCGAAACAAUGCUUUAUGCUACCGUGUGCCGUUAUUUACUCUGGUCGGGGGAAGUGUCAGCGCUGCGGUCUGGCAGCCACAUGCCUGGCUUUGGAAGGAUGGGAAUUUCUCACUCUCAUUAAGCCGUUCCCUGUUGCACCGUAAAAGAAAACAAUUAGCCACUUAAUCUCGGAGGCCAAAAGGAAGA